rnacentral:misc_RNA from 1 species
GACUGUUCUUGGGAGAAUCUGGAGUUCUGUUAGUGCAUGGAGUGGUGAGGUUAAUGCUAAAAGAAAGAUGGCAAGGAGAAGGAAACUGAAGAGAUGAAGGAAGAUGUGCAAGAAGGGGAAUGAAGGAAUUCAAAAUAAUUUAUCCAUAAUAUUUCUAAAAAUUUUAAGAUCAAAAUACAUAUCAAGAUAGUAUUUCCUAACUCUGCAUAGCUCUUU